rnacentral:rRNA from 1 species
GUUGGCGCUCACACUGGAGUUGUCCCACCUCUUCCCAUUCCGAACAGAGAAGUGAAAUACUCCAAGGCCGAUGGUAGUUAGUCCUUCGGGGCUAGCGAGAGUAGGUAGGCGCCACCU